GACAAUAAGGAUUGUAAGAGGAUGGAGCCAGAAAGCAGCGACUGGUCAGACUGAGAGCCCCGCCCACAUUUACCGGUUUCCGAUGUUUACCAACGCUGCUGCCAAUAACGUUACCCUCCAUAGUGGAGCUAAACUGUACAGUAACGCUACGAGGAUCUGAUCACCAUGUCAUGAGCAUCACACUGCAGACUGCAAAACUGCACUGUUUCUCCACAGCUGAGCUGAACUUGGAUACAAUAAAAUAAAAAAAUAAAAACUUUAGUAAAAACUUUGGUCUGGAUCAGAAUCAGAAUCAAAAUUAGAAGAAACUUUAUUUAUCCCCGAGGGGAAAUUAGGUGGUCAAAAAGAGCAAGAGAAAGAAAAAACACAAAAAGGUGAGGGAGCAGAAGCAGCAGAUUAUGUGCGGUGGCAGAUCUGCUGCCAGUAACAGUAUGAGUGGUUGCUGCAGAGAUAGUAAAGGCAGUACUGUCCAUAUAAGUGCCAGAGAUGUAAAGGUACAGUGCAUUGGCUGGGAAUUGAACCCAGGCCUCCCAAGUGGCUGGCAAGUCCAUAAUAAUCCAUAAUAAUGCACUCAGCGCCUUUAAAACGUGCAAUAAUUGAUCAAUUGACACUUUAUAAAUGCACUGUACUGUUCAUUACAUCUUUGUCUCUAUUUGUGUACAUACUUCCAUCUUUAAUUGAUUUUAUUUAUAUACAUAUAUAUCCUAUAUUGUGAUUUCCAGUGACAACCACAAUUAAUGCUGUCUGAGACUGCCAACAGAAUUUCAUUGUAUUUCCAUGUACAUUGAUAAUCAAGGCAUCUUAAUACAGUUUUUCUCAAUUGAUAAGACACUAAAUUCCAUUCACUGCACACAGCCACCAGCUGACUGCACACAUUUCUCAAAAACAGGACUCUGCUGUCAAAAUUUUGGACACUAUUCAUGGUUUGCACACAGUUUCCAAAACUCUUGCACCCUUUUUGCAAAAGACUGAACAUGUUUUUUGCUCAUUUAAACACACCUUUUCACUCAUAGCACACAUUUUUCAAAAAAGUGAACACUAGGAAGCAGAACUGGGACACUGUUCCAACACUGCUGUCACAAUUAAUACACAACAGGUCAAAACUGAAAACACUUUUGCCAAUGAAGUGCACACUAUAAAACCUGCUGGGAAACAGAAUUAACUGUUCACAAUGGAUGUCAGAGGAGCAAGAGGUCAUGCUGGAAGAAGAGGACGUGGGCGACCCAGACCACGGCCAGAACCAGAACCUGGACUUGACCAUGCACCUGGUCCUGGACCACUUUACAUGAGAGUUUUUCAGUUGGAUUCUGAUGCUGGUUUCAACCUGGCCAAGAGGAGGAGAAGAGGGAGGAACAUCAUUGGACAAUGGGCUAUAGUCAACGUCCAGGUCAGCGUGGGGCAACGUAACCCUCUGUGCUGCAAUAAGCAAUCUUGGAGUAAAUGACCGUCAUGCAGUUCUGAACCCAUACAACACCCAGCAUUUGUUGACUUUCCUAGAUGGACUUAAAGGGCCAACUGACACAGGUGCAGCAGGGCGUUUGGCAAGAAUACAUAGUUUUUGUUGUUGUCUGGGACAAUGUUAGUUUUCAUAGAGGACUACUGAUUUGGGAAUGUUUCAAUAUGAACCCUCAAGUUAUUGUGGUUUUUCUGCCGCCAUAUUCUCCCUUUCUGAAUCCUAUAGAAGAAUUCUUCUCUACAUGGAGGUGGAAGGUAUAUGAGGCAGCCAUACUUUGGGAAAAUCUCUAUCAGUCAAUGGUCUUGGCAUGUGGUGAUGUUUCUGUUGAUGCAUGUCAGGGCUGGAUCAGACACACUAGGUCUUUCUUUCCAGAGAAAACAUAGCUUGUGAUGUUGAUGAGGUCCUGUGGCCUGACCAGGCUGAAAGAACUGAUGCAGAUGUGGUGUAAAUAUUUGCAUACUGUACUGUGUACAAUAUAGCUCUGUAUUUUUUUUUUGUCUGACAUUAUUUUUAUUUUGUAUUGUACAGUCAAGCACUGCAAUGACCCCCUCUGAUUCAUUUAUAGGAUGCAUUUGUCAUUUUUGAGUACUGUAUCUUUUUUUUACACUUCAUGUCAAAACACAGUGAGAGAGGAGUGUUUUGUAUUUAGCAGUGCA